GACGAACGCUGGCGGCGUGGAUUAGGCAUGCAAGUCGAACGGUAUCAUCCUUUCGGGGGUGAGAGAGUGGCGAACUGGUGAGUAACACGUAGGUUAUCUACCCUCAAGACGGGGACAACCCAGGGAAACUUGGGCUAAUACCGGAUGUGAGCAACUUUUAGUUGUUUGAAAGGUGGCGUAAGCUGUCGCUUGGGGAUGAGCCUGCGUCCUAUUAGUUAGUUGGUGAGGUAACGGCUCACCUAGGCAAUGAUAGGUAGGCGGCCUUAACGGGUGGUCGCCCACACUGGGAUUGAGAUACGGCCCAGACUCCUACGGGAGGCAGCAGUCGAGAAUAGUCUACAAUGGUCGGAAGACUGAUAGUGCGACGCCGCGUGAACGAUGAAUCCCUUCGGGGUGUAAAGUUCUUUUAUAUGUGAGCAGUGCUUCUAUAUUAACAGUAUGGGAGAGAGAUAUUAGCAUAUGAAUAAGCAACGGCUAAACUCCGUGCCAGCAGCCGGGUAAAA
rnacentral:rRNA from 1 species